CAGUGGAGUUGGAGCUGGAGGCCAUGAUGAAACAGUAAAGAACAUUCAUACCCACCACACCUAGAAGUGAAUCUUUGCACUUCACCACUCCCAAAUGAGCUUCAUGGAUUUUCUCCAGCGUUUCUGUUCGCAGGCUUUGAGGCACUACAAGUCUUGUAUUUUUGAACAACAAUCCUUCUGAGAGGGAAUUCGAGCUGCGGCGUAACACUUUGGGAACGCCUCUGUCUAAUGGAAAGCACCGGC